rnacentral:lncRNA from 1 species
CAAGAUUUGCCCAAACAGGAUACAACCACAUAUAUACACAUACACAUAAUCACACAUCAUUCACAAUCACAUCCAUAACCAGAGUUAUUCAUAAAUACAUAACUAUUAGUUUAAACUGUUUCCUACCCGGAAACUCGUUUUGAAAUACUAAGUCAUGAAAACCACAAGAAAAUCUUUAAAACUGUUUUCCACACGGAAACCUUUUUCUUUAAAAACUUGCUACCACGAGGGGUAGAAAAUCAUUUUCAUUCCACAGAAAUUCCAAUUCCAUUAUUAUAUUCAUAAAACCAGAUGAAUUCAAAGUAAUAGCAACUAAACCAAAUAAACUAAGUCAUUUAUU